CCAAAAGAUGGAAACAGCCCAACUGUUCAACUGAUGAACGGAUAAAGAAAAUGUGAUGUGUAAAUAGAAUGGAAUAUUACUCGUAUUUAUAUUUAGAUAGCUGUAUUGAUUAUCUGUGUACUUAGUUGUGAAAAGUAAAGACAAAAAAUAAAUAGAACAAAUGUUAUUGAGACUUGAUAGUGUAUAUAGUAGUGAGGAAAUGGUGUGAGGAAUCUCACUUCAUUUGGGGGUAGGAGACAACUGCUGGUUGAGAAAUUAAGCCUCAGUGGACAGACAUAUCUGUCUCCCAGCUCCCAGUGUGAACAUGGAGUAGGCAUUCUGGUUGAGAAUAAGAUGGCUUGCAGGGCAGGGGCACAGUGACAGUGUUAUGGACUGAAGGUUUAUGUUCCCUUAAAAUCCGUAUGUUGAAAUGCUGACACCCAGUGCAGCUGAUUUGGGAGAUGGGGACUCUUAAGUAAUUAAGCUAAAAGGAGGUCAAUGGGUGGGGGCCUCAUCACAUAAGAAUAGUUCUCACCAAAACUAAAUUAGCCUGAACCUUGAACUCAGACUUCUAAGCCUCCAGAACUAUGAGAAAUAACUUUUUCUUAUUUAAACCACCAAAUGUGUAGUGUUUUGAUAUGAUAGCCCAGGCAGACUAACAUAAACAGUAACUUUCCUUCAUUCAGAAUCAAAGACCAAACAGAAGAACCUCCCUUUGGUACAAAAGAUGUUUCAUGCCCCAUCACAAAUCACUAGACCUGGAACUUUCCUUCCUUCCUCAUGGUCAGGGGCAUUCAGAGAAGCAGUUUAGAGCACUGCAUCCCUGAGAUACAGGAAAGGAAUGGAAUUGUUGAUGGAGGACAAGGGGAAGAAGAGGAAAUACAUUAGCAGUGGGUGGUCAGAGUCUGAUUCAAGCGGAAAGGGAAAAGAGAGAAAGGGAAAGAAGGAGAAAGAGAGGAAUAGGAGAGCUCAAGGACAAGGGGAAAGAGGAAGAAGAAAGAAGACAGGUGGUGGAUGAACUAAGGAUGAUCAGGACAGGGUGCAGUAGGCAUCGGUGAUGAAGGUUCAGAAACCAAAGAAACCGAUGAGGACAGUGGGGCUCUCUUUUCUGUCCUCCUAAAUUGCCUCUACAAGCCCAGAGACAAUGUAGGUUGUGCAAAACCUUUGUGUAAAUUAAUAAAGGCAUCCUUUCUGGAUUACUGAAGGAGAAAAAUAGUAUUUUUCUGGCAAGGGCAGACCUCAGGAUAUGAGCCUGGGGGUGGGAAGACAUCUUUGUGUGUGUCUUCAACCCUUUCUCCAGUCAAUGCAGUCCCAUUACAACCUAUUGGUUAGCUACCAGAGCAUGGGCUGGAUUAAGACCCCACCCAACACCUCAUAUGUUGCCCAUAUGAGGUGGAAUCGACUAUAUCAUGGUUGGUAGACUUCUCUGUCUUCACCAAAUGGGAAGGCAUCCUCACACAGUACUCUGCAACUCUAUGGAACACCAUCAUCCACGGCUGGGUGGCUGAAUAUCUGCCACCAGUUCAGGGCUGCCAGGAAGUGCUGAGCAUUACCAUUUAACCAACACCUUCCUGGGGCACCUGGGUGACUUAGUCAGUUAAGAGUCUCAUUCUUGAUUUUGGCUCAGGUCAUAAUCUCAGGGUAGUGAGGUCCAGCACUGUGUCACUGAUGGCACACAGACUCCUUGGGAUUCUCUCUCUCCUCUCUCUUCUGCGCCUGCCUCCAUUCACACAAUUUCUCCUUUCAAAAUAAAUAAACUUUUUUUAAAUAAAAAAUAAAAAAAAAUUUAAAAACCCACCUUCCUUCAAACCCCUUCCUCCAACAUGAUGAGCUUCCUACACUUGCAUUGUCAUAAAACCAUGCCUGGUAUUCUUGAAGACCUGCAAGUUGAGAGGGUAGCUUCUCAUUUCUUUGAUGCUCCCCAUAGAGAAAAUCUAUGACAGGGUACUGAGACACUUGGAUUUCAGAGACAGAGAACUAAAGGCAUCAUGAGGCUGAAAGUCUGGGUCUGGGAGUAGUCUCAACAGACAUAGUAGAUUUAAGCAGUUGUACAACACAGGAUUCUUUCUCUAUAAUUAGUCAUUUAAUUCUUACUUGUCUCAAUCCCCAUAUGUCCCAAAAUAUUUCAUAUCUUUACAUCGCUAAGACUUACUAAAAGUAUUCCAAUCCCCGUAUCUCCACUCUAGAUUGGUUCUGUGGCAAAGAGUAUAUAACAUUGUAUGUACUUUGCACUAGCAAUGGGGCCUGGAUAACAUGAAGAACCAGCAGAGAAAAGGAGAAACAUAGAAUAUUUAAAGUGCAUAUUGCCAUCGUGUCAAGAAAUUGCACAAAAAUAUAGGAAAAUCUCUACAACAGUUGAUAAAGAAACAAAACAUCAAAGACUGGUAACAUGGUGCCACAUAGUCCUGUUCUCCAAAGAGAAGGAAGACAGGUUAGGAUGAGAAAAUAUUUUCAACCUGAAAACCUGGUGACAUGCCCCAACUGCAAUGCUCUGCGCAAGCAAAUUCAGCAGUGGAUAGAACAAACAAAAAUUCCUGCCCUAUGGAGCUCACAUUCAAGGGGAGGGUGGAUGCCAGCUUAUAUACAAGGCAAAGGAAAACCCUGAGAAAAUACUCACCCCCAUGGAGGGGCCUCUCCACCCUUCUCAGACUCUCCAGGACUUGGAUAAUCUGUCUGGCUACUGCUGAUGCAUAUACAGGGGCCACAGCAAUUUACUCAACAGGAGCUGAGCAGAAACUCCAGAAAUGACAGCAUUGUGGGAACUGAGGGUCUCUUUCUCUCUCCUUCCCUCCCACUACCCUCCUUCCCAAGGGGACUUAGUCACUGAGGUACCUGUUCUUAAUUAGCCCAGGUUCAGGGCGUCCCUAAGCAAUCAGACUGCGGAAAGCAGAACAAACUUUUAGUUAUUCCCUUUUUUGACCAAUUAAGUGUCAGAACUUUCGAAACUUUUUGCUUAAUGAAGAAACCUGAAAUCUCACCAAUCACAGGCUUUCAAUACCAAAACUGCCUCCUCAAAGGCCCCAAGUCUAGGAUUCAAGAGUCAUCUCAGACUCUAAGCAGAUUACCCCUUCUGCCCUAUAUCCUAGACUCUUCUCCGAUUCUCUUAGCUAUUCAGAGAAAAAAUCAUCCCCUAACUCCCAAUAGGACACAUUACAAUUGACAUCUAAAAUGUGCACCAAUAUCCUAAAAGCAUGCAUAUUGGUCUCAGUCAAAGCCUUAACUUCACCAGAAAUCCCCUACAAAGCCUGUUUCCUCCUUCACUCAUUUCAUAGAGAGACUCCUGCUCCUAACUCUGAGGACCUUCCAGAAAACUGGGGAGAGUUUCUGCCCCCAAAUUGUACUUCACUCUCUGCUACUGUCUCAGGUUUCCACUCUUCUGAACACACAUGCAUCUGUAUGCAUUCAAGCAAGAUUCUUACAUUUAUUUCUACGGUGUGUCCAUGUUUGCCAGCUGGGCACUUCAAAGCCGGGACAGCAUAAGGACAGCCAAUGUAGGCAGUUAUAUUUACAACCUGAACCAACUGACAAAUGUAAAUUGUAAGUCUGCUUUAUGCUAGAGCGAGACAGAAAAAAUGGCAGCUACAACCAUUUAUCUGGAUUUGGGAUUUCAUUUGAAGUAUACCUGUUAAGUCUGAGAGUGUCAAUAGAUACAGAAGGGUAUAAUUUGGGAAUAAUCUUCCUUCCCAUUUCUGAUGUUGCCAAGCCCAAUUAGAUUGCCAUAUAAUAUUAGAAAAAAUUUAUAAGUAUGUAUCUGCAUAUUCUUUAUAGAAAAUCUUGUGAAAAUCUAUUUUAAAACCUUUUCU